rnacentral:rRNA from 1 species
AACGAACGCUGGCGGCAGGCCUAACACAUGCAAGUCGAACGCUGUAGCAAUACAGAGUGGCAGACGGGUGAGUAACGCGUGGGAACAUGCCCUUCGGUUCGGAAUAACUCAGGGAAACUUGAGCUAAUACCGGAUACGCCCUUAGGGGGAAAGAUUUAUUGCCGAAGGAUUGGCCCGCGUCCGAUUAGCUAGUUGGUGAGGUAAUGGCUCACCAAGGCGACGAUCGGUAGCCGGUCUGAGAGGAUGAUCAGCCACACUGGGACUGAGACACGGCCCAGACUCCUACGGGAGGCAGCAGUGGGGAAUAUUGGACAAUGGGCGCAAGCCUGAUCCAGCCAUGCCGCGUGAGUGAUGAAGGCCCUAGGGUUGUAAAGCUCUUUCGCCAGGGACGAUAAUGACGGUACCUGGAUAAGAAGCCCCGGCUAACUUCGUGCCAGCCGCCGCCGUAA